GCCCGCUCAGAAACUCAAAUGAAUUGACGGGGCCCGCACAAGCGGUGGAGCAUGUGGUUUAAUUCGAUGCAACGCGAAGAACCUUACCUGGUCUUGACAUCCCGGAGACCCUUAGGAAACUAGGGGGUGCUUCCAUCUGGAAGAAUCUGGAGACAGGUGCUGCAUGGCUGUCGUCAGCUCGUGUCGUGAGAUGUUGGGUUAAGUCCCGCAACGAGCGCAACCCUUGCCUUUAGUUGCCAGCAGUUCGGCUGGGCACUCUAAAGGGACUGCCGGUGUUAAACCGGAGGAAGGUGGGGAUGACGUCAAGUCCUCAUGGCCCUUACGGCCUGGGCUACACACGUGCUACAAUGGUCGGUACAAAGGGUUGCCAAGCCGCGAGGUGGAGCUAAUCCCAUAAAACCGAUCGUAGUCCGGAUCGCAGUCUGCAACUCGACUGCGUGAAGUCGGAAUCGCUAGUAAUCGUGAAUCAGAAUGUCACGGUGAAUACGUUCCCGGGCCUU
rnacentral:rRNA from 1 species